GGCUGGUCCAAUGGUAGUGGGUUAUCAGAACUUAUUAACAUUAGUGUCACUAAAGUUGGUAUACAACCCCCCACUGCUAAAUUUGACUGGCUUAAA
rnacentral:Y_RNA from 1 species